AAUAGAUACCCCGGUAGUCCACGCCGUAAACGAUGAGUGCUAAGUGUUAGAGGGUUUCCGCCCUUUAGUGCUGCAGCUAACGCAUUAAGCACUCCGCCUGGGGAGUACGGUCGCAAGACUGAAACUCAAAGGAAGUUGACGGGGGCCCGCACAAGCGGUGGAGCAUGUGGUUUAAUUCGAAGCAACGCGAAGAACCUUACCAGGUCUUGACAUCCUCUGACAACUCUAGAGAUAGGAGCGUUCCCCUUCGGGGGACAGAGUGACAGGUGGUGCAUGGUUGUCGUCAGCUCGUGUCGUGAGAUGUUGGGUUAAGUCCCGCAACGAGCGCAACCCUUGAUCUUAGUUGCCAGCAUUUAGUUGGGCACGUCUAAGGUGACUGCCGGUGACAAACCGGAGGAAGGUGGGGAUGACGUCAAAUCAUCAUGCCCCUUAUCGACCUGGGCUACACACGUGCUACAAUGGAUGGUACAAAGGGCUGCAAGACGCGAGGUGGAGCGAAUCUCAAAAACGCCGGUCUCGAGUUCGGAUUGG
rnacentral:rRNA from 1 species